rnacentral:rRNA from 1 species
AUUGAACGCUGGCGGCAGGCUUAACACAUGCAAGUCGAGCGAGCGGCGGACGGGUGAGUAAUGUCUGGGAAACUGCCUGAUGGAGGGGGAUAACUACUGGAACCGGUAGCUAAUACCGCAUACCAUCAGAUGUGCCCAGAUGGGAUUAGCUAGGAGGUGGGGUAAUGGCUCACCUAGGCGACGAUCCCUAGCUGGGCUGAGAGGAUGACCAGCCACACUGGAACUGAGACACGGCCCAGACUCCGAGGGGAGGAAGCAGUGGGGAAUAUUGCACAAUGGGCGCAAGCCUGAUGCAGCCAUGCCGCGUGUGUGAAGAAGGCCUUCGGGUUGUAAAGCACUUUCAGCGAGGAGUCGUUACUCGCAGAAGAAUCACCGGCUAACGCCGUGCCAGCAGCCGCGGUAAUUC